GGAUGACGAUGGCGACGUUGGCGAUGUCCAGGAGCCAGUAGGGGUUGUAGAAGCCAAAGCCGGUGAGCAGGUUCCCUGGCGCCAUGUCACCGAAGGCGGCGUAGCCCAUGCACCCACAGAGCAUGUAGAAGAUCGUAGUGGAUGAUGGAGUAGGAGUAAGCGAAUGCGAUGUCGCCGAAGGCUUGAAAGCUGCGCCAUAUCUUGUCCAUCUCGCUUACAGUGCCGAUGCUGAUCCCAGUGAGACUUCCUCUGAUGCCUCCAUUUUCUGUUGAUGGCUUGGUGCAGUGUUUACUGAUAACUUGGACGAUGCCGAGACUGAGUCCGAUGGCGGAGUAGGUGAAGGACAUGAUGGCAGCGACGAUGGAGAGCCACCAAAUCUGGUCGAAGUCUGGAAUCUGAGAGAAGAGGAUCUCAACGAUCGCAAAGAUGAUCAUGUAAGGAUUGUUGCUCACUUGGCAUGGGCUGUCAUCCCCAUUUUUGUGGAAACAGUUGGACCUCUUGACUGCCCUGCUCCAUAAACAAAACCAACAUCAAAAAUCCAAUUUUAACAAUGGAUUAAGGAUGAGGUACUAUUUAUAUGCUCCACUUACACCAUGCUAAUGGAAGCAGCAAUUGUGUAUCCGAUCGCAACACCUACGAUGUUGAGGUACUGCAGGUUUGAAGUAUUGGACUUACUGAGAUUAGCUUGGACAGCAUCCAUAUAGGUGUAGUUCCGCUUUCCAGAGAUGGGAUCACCAGAGCGGUAGCAGUCACCGAGGAGAGCAGAAGUGUAGUAGGUAACAAACGAGAAGAGUAACAUGACGGCGGGACCAGCAACCCAUCCAAGCUGACCAAUUGCCCAGGCCAAGGAGAGGACGCCGGAGCCAAUCACCGCUGUAAUGAUGUGUGCACUUGCCGUCCAAACAGUCCCUGUAAAGCCUCAAACUUAGCCAAUAAUUUGAGAAGAGUUGAAAUUUUGGAAGAACAUUUAAAUUACCAGUUCUCUUGAGCCGUCCAUCAUCAUCGAAGCAUUUGCUGGGUUCCUGUGGCAGGCCUUGUUCUAGUGCAGCUUGGUGAUAGUAAUUUGCGGUGCCAAUAUCAGGCAUCUUAAUCCAAAACAAGAAUUCAAUUCAGAGAAACAGCAGAGUAUGGAUAGAUAACAUAGGAAUUGCUCAACUAACAAAAGGCACCAACGACAUAAAUUGAACAUUUGAACUCACCUUCUGCAUUGAGAUUAUGAUCACCUUCUACUCAAGGAAGAUUUCAGGUGGUGUUGAGUAUAGGGGGGCCUUCAACGUUGGCUUUAUAGGGCACUGGCAGUGUGGUCUUUACACUUUGGAGGAAAAAGAAUGGCUGAACAAUGGUGCUCAGAGGCUCAGAGAAUCUGCUUACCCAUAUAUGAAUGACUCAUUGAAGGUACUUAGACUUGGGGGUUCAUAACUCAAAAUCCCUUCAUUCAAUCAGCAAACUAAAAUGAAAGGAAGGUGACUCGUUAUUUUUGCUCCGGCUAUAGCCUGUUGGAUCAAGUUGGUCAUAUCUUGAUUAUUGUUUCUGUGGUGGCAAUGGCUAGUAGUUAUAUGGAGGAGGAUUCUUAAAACCUCUAGUACUGUAGGUUUUAAGAAACAAGAUGGCAAAAUAUGUUUGCACUAGGAGACUAUUAACACUCGCUUUGCUUCAAGUUUCGUCGCUUCUUGCCAGAGUAGUGUCCCUUAACCCAAGCAACACUGACACUGAUUAUUCUAACGAGCAUAGGAUGGUCAUGAAGAUGAGGGUGAAAAAAGACUAACAAAUAACCAUUGCAUUUUAAGUCUUCAUGAGGUAAGUGUAUGUAGGAGGAUGAUAUACA